rnacentral:rRNA from 1 species
GACGAACGCUGGCGGCGUGCUUAACACAUGCAAGUCGAGCGGAAAGGCCCUUCGGGGUACUCGAGCGGCGAACGGGUGAGUAACACGUGAGUAAUCUGCCCUUGGCUUUGGGAUAACUACCGGAAACGGUGGCUAAUACCGGAUACGACAACCGUCUGCAUGGGCUGGUUGUGGAAAGUUUUUUCGGCCAGGGAUGUGCUCGCGGCCUAUCAGCUUGUUGGUGGGGUAAUGGCCUACCAAGGCUUCGACGGGUAGCCGGCCUGAGAGGGUGACCGGCCACACUGGGACUGAGACACGGCCCAGACUCCUACGGGAGGCAGCAGUGGGGAAUAUUGGACAAUGGGCUGAAGCCUGAUCCAGCAACGCCGCGUGAGGGAUGACGGCCUUCGGGUUGUAAACCUCUUUCAGUACCGACGAAGCGCCGAUGAUGGUGGUGACGGUAGGUACAGAAGAAGCACCGGCCAACUACGUG